rnacentral:rRNA from 1 species
AUGCUCGUGCUCGAUCUGCCGGCGUGGUUUAUCUCUUGCAUUGACAAGAUCAGACAUGGAUUCUUUUGGGGUGGGCAUGACGAGGCCAAAGGCGGGAACUGCCUUGUCAACUGGAACCUUGUUUGCUCACCUAAAACUUAUGGUGGACUCGGGAUCCACAACCUCAAGUUACUAAAUCAUGCCUUGCUCCUCAAAUGGCGCUGGUUCGAGAAGCUUGCAGAGGAGAAACCUUGGCAAGGCCUUGAUAUUACUCUGCCUGCUGAGGUUGCCAGUGUUUUU